UACGGGGGGGGCAAGCGUUGUUCGGAAUUAUUGGGCGUAAAGGGCUCGUAGGCGGUCUGUCGCGUCGGGAGUGAAAACUCAGGGCUUAACCCUGAGCCUGCUUCCGAUACGGGCAGACUAGAGGUAUGCAGGGGAGAACGGAAUUCCUGGUGUAGCGGUGGAGUGCGCAGAUAUCAGGAGGAACACCGGUGGCGAAGGCGGUUCUCUGGGCAUUACCUGACGCUGAGGAGCGAAAGUGUGGGGAGCGAACAGG
rnacentral:rRNA from 1 species